AACGAACGCUGGCGGCAUGCCUAACACAUGCCAGUCGAACGAGACCUUCGGGUCUAGUGGCGCACGGGUGCGUAACGCGUGGGAACCUGCCCUUAGGUUCGGAAUAACUCCCCGAAAGGGGUGCUAAUACCAGAUAAUGUCUUCGGACCAAAGAUUUAUCGCCUUUGGAUGGGCCCGCGUUGGAUUAGCUAGUUGGUAGGGUAAAAGCCUACCAAGGCGACGAUCCAUAGCUGGUCUGAGAGGAUGAUCAGCAACACUGGGACUGAGACACGGCCCAGACUCAUACGGGAGGCAGCAGUGGGGAAUAUUGCACAAGGGGCGAGAGUCUGAUCCAGCAAUGCCGCGUGAAUGAUGAAGGCCUUAGGGUUGUAAAGCUCUUUUACCCGGGAUGAUAAUGACAGUACCGGGAGAAUAAGCUCCGGCUAACUCCGUG
rnacentral:rRNA from 1 species